UACGUAGGGGGCAAGCGUUGUCCGGAAUCAUUGGGCGUAAAGCGCGUGUAGGCAGCUCGGCAAGUCGGGUGUGAAAGCCCUGGGCUCAACCUAGGAAGUGCACUCGAAACUUCCGAGCUGGAGUACUGGAGAGGAGACUGGAAUUUACGGUGUAGCGGUGAAAUGCGUAGAUAUCGUAAGGAAGACCAGUGGCGAAGGCGGGUCUCUGGACAGUUCCUGACGCUGAGGCACGAAGGCCAGGGGAGCAAACGGG
rnacentral:rRNA from 1 species